rnacentral:rRNA from 1 species
ACUUAAAUUGAAGAGUUUGAUCAUGGCUCAGAUUGAACGCUGGCGGCAGGCCUAACACAUGCAAGUCGAGCGGUAGCACAGAGAGCUUGCUCUCGGGUGACGAGCGGCGGACGGGUGAGUAAUGUCUGGGAAACUGCCUGAUGGAGGGGGGUAACUACUGGAAACGGUAGCUAAUACCGCAUAACGUCGCAAGACCAAAGUGGGGGACCUUCGGGCCUCAUGCCAUCAGAUGUGCCCAGAUGGGAUUAGCUAGUAGGUGGGGUAACGGCUCACCUAGGCGACGAUCCCUAGCUGGUCUGAGAGGAUGACCAGCCACACUGGAACUGAGACACGGUCCAGACUCCUACGGGAGGCAGCAGUGGGGAAUAUUGCACAAUGGGCGCAAGCCUGAUGCAGCCAUGCCGCGUGUGUGAAGAAGGCCUUCGGGUUGUAAAGCACUUUCAGCGGGGAGGAAGGCGUUAAGGUUAAUAACCU